AUUUUCCAUCCACCAUUUAGAACUGGAGAAUAUACAAUAGUGAAGGUGCUAUCAAUCAAAAGCUAUGAGAUUUCAUAAGAAAUUGGAAAUUCCUGCAAAACAUUUCGUGAAUGCAAACAAAAUCCGAAGUUACUAGCCUCUUAGAAACUAAGCUUCUGAAUAUCACUAAA